rnacentral:rRNA from 1 species
UUUUAUGAGAGUUUGAUCCUGGCUCAGGACGAACGCUGGCGGCGUACCUAAUACAUGCAAGUCGAACGCUUCUUUUUCCACCGGAGCUUGCUCCACCGGAAAAAGAGGAGUGGCGAACGGGUGAGUAACACGUGGGUAACCUGCCCAUCAGAAGGGGAUAACACUUGGAAACAGGUGCUAAUACCGUAUAACAAUC